rnacentral:rRNA from 1 species
UACGAAGGGGGCUAGCGUUGUUCGGAAUUACUGGGCGUAAAGCGCGCGUAGGCGGAUAUUUAAGUCAGGGGUGAAAUCCUGGAGCUCAACUCCAGAACUGCCUUUGAUACUGAAGAUCUUGAGUUCGGGAGAGGUGAGUGGAACUGCGAGUGUAGAGGUGAAAUUCGUAGAUAUUCGCAAGAACACCAGUGGCGAGGCGGCUCACUGGCCCGAUACUGACGCUGAGGCACGAAAGCGUGGGGAGCAAACAGG